rnacentral:misc_RNA from 1 species
GGCUACCUCCUCUUUCAGUACUUCAAUUCGCUCCACUGCUUCUGCCAACUGGCCCUUUAUUACAUUUACUUCUUUGUUGCACCCAGAAGCUAAUGUUUGUUGUUGACUUGCAAAUUCUUUCGCAGCAUUCAACUCUUGACGAACCUGCUCAGACUGAACCCUCUCUUUUGCUAGAGCAGCUGAUGCAUCUGUUGCUAACUUCUCCUUCUCGUUCACUAACUUUUCCAUCUGCAUCAGUCUGUCCUUCUCUUCAACCUCGAAUUUUAAUUUGUUUUCCAUCUCAAUAAGUUUUGUAUCAAGAGAAGUUCGAAUUUCUUUUUCAUUCAAAUGCUCCAAAUACAGUUCCUUAAGCAUAUCUUUA